AUUUUCAGAAUGUGAACAAUGGCAGGCAGAAAUAUCGGAUAUGAAUGUGAUGAUUCUGGAGUGUUUGAAAUAGACUUGAAACUUCCCAAUGGCACUGUUAAAAGAAAUUACAACUUCAUGACAUUUCACACAGUUAAAGAGG
rnacentral:sRNA from 1 species